GCAUGCCUUACACAUGCAAGUNGAGGGGGCAANCCNGGNCGAGUGGCNAACGGGUGAGUAANACAUCGGAACGUGUCCUGGAGUGGGGGAUAGCNNNGCGAAAGCCGGAUUAAUACCGCAUACGAUCUUGGGAUGAAAGGCCUCGCGCUCAAGGGGCGGNCGAUGGCAGAUUAGCUAGUUGGUGGGGUAAAGGCCUACCAAGGCGACGAUCUGUAGCUGGUCUGAGAGGACGACCAGCCACACUGGGACUGAGACACGGCCCAGNNUNCUACGGGAGGCAGCAGUGGGGAAUUUUGGACAAUGGGGGCAACCCUGAUCCAGCAAUGCCGCGUGUGUGAAGAAGGCCUUCGGGUUGUAAAGCACUUUUGUCCGGAAAGAAA
rnacentral:rRNA from 1 species